rnacentral:piRNA from 1 species
UUCUGUAUGGAUUUGCCUAUUUUUGAUGU